AAUAAUAUUUAUUCUUACUACGUAUGAUACCUUUGGUAUUUUUAAAAUUGAUUCCAUUCCAUUUUUUUUUUCAAAGGCUGGUCUUGACUUUGGUGAUAUUGUGAUUUACCACCCAGAUGACCAAAAUGUAUUUCUUGUGUAUAUUUGGUCUUUGUUGCUGUUUCUGGCUCACAGCUUUCAGAACUCUUGAAAUUUCCUAAGUGUUGAGAGUGCUGAAAGGGUCUUUGUUUUAUCAAUGAGGUGACUUUCAGAAGCACCUAAGGAGGGGGGCUGAUAGCCCUUGGUGCUAACCAUGAGAUUAGAGGGUUGGAACUUUCAGCCCAACCCCUUCGCCACCUCACCAGACCACUGGGGAGCUACUAGGGACUGGAGGUUUAAUCAACUGCCAAUGGCUUAUGAUUUAAUCAGCCAUGCCUAUGCCUUCAUCAGAAGCCUCCAUGAAAACGUGAAAGGACAGGGUUCAGAGAGCUUCUGGGGUGGUGAGCCCAUGGAGGUUUGGGAGAGCAGUGUACCUGGGGAGGGCCUGGAAGCUCAGCACCCCUUCCUUCAUCCCUUACCCUGUGCCUCUCUUCCGUCUGGCUGUUAAGUAAAAUGUUUCUCUGAGUUCUGUGAGCUGUUCUGGCAAAUUAAUCGAAACAAUGGGAUUGUGGAAACCUUUGACUUAUAAGUAGCUGAUCAGAAGCACAAGGUAAUAGCCUGGCCUUGCGACUGGCAUUUGAGGUGGUGUAAAAUCUUGUGAGACUGAGCUUUUUAAUUGUGCCGUCUGAAUUGUUUUUUGGUGUGGGGAUGCCCCCCCCCCCGCCCCGACCCCAGAAAGGAAUUGAUCCAGGAACCCUUUCAGUCUCUAAGCUUAUUUUACUAAUUGAAGCCACACGUUAGGAAUAAGAAAUCUAGUUACAGCUUUGCAAGCCCUGGUGAUUAGGAUAGGCUACCCGAAUACGCAGUGGAAGGAGGUGGAAAGUCCUGUGAGGAUGUGAGGUUUAGGGAUGCUUUAGACAUUUUGGGCUCAUCAAAAGAGCACCUUUAGUUCCUGGAAGACUGAUCUGUGGAGUCCAAAUAAAAUACAGAGCAGAGAUACAGAGAAAACCUAGGGUCUUGGUACUACAUCAAUUUUAUCAGUUUCAUGAGCCAAUAUAUCCACCCCCUUUUUUAAAAAAUUAAUUUUUAAAAAUGAAUCCUUAAAAAUUAUAGUUGAGUUACAGUGCUGGGCCAAUUUCUGCUAUAUACCCCUGACCCCUUUUAAAAAAUGGGUUCCAGAUACUGUACUACAAAAUGUCCUAGCUGAUACAGACUUCACCCAUGUGAGGGAGAGAAUAGUUUUACUUUCACAUUUAUACUUUCUAAUGUAAUUACUUAUAACAUUUUCUAGUUCUAUCAUAGUAUUAGGAUAUAACAGUGCUUUCUAGCCCACCCUCUUUAAAAAUAGCAUAAUGGAAUAUAUAGGAAAUGGUGUUUUAUGGCAUUUUGGGGCAAAGGCUUUCUAAAAGUUUUAAAGUUUUGGAAUGGUAAAGGGAUAGAAAUCCCUUUGGUUCAAGAUAGCAAAGAUUAUAGGGGAGCUUGCCGGAAAUUUGCUAACUUUUUAAAAAAGUUUUGAGUUAAUUUAAGGUAUUUCUUGGAAGUUCAUUUCUGAGUAUUUGUGAAUAACUUCUCACACAGCAUCAAGUACAAACAAAUCUACCAUUGAAUGAAUUCCUUAUAUAAAGUUUGAGAACUAGCAUGAACUUUAAAAUAUUCUAUAAAUACUCUGUAUUUAGCUAAAAUUACUAAGGUCUUUGGACCUAUGUGAUUUAUAUGAUAGCAUAUUUCUAUCAGUUCAUUUAUUAAUAUAAAUAAAUUUUCUGAGGCUCACAUGUUCAUAUCUGGUAAGUUUAUGGUUUUCAGAAUACUAGGGAAUACAGUAUUUAUUUUAUUCAAGUCAUAAUUUAUUGAAGUAAAAAAUUCUCUAGAAAAUUGGAUACGAGGUAUGUAGGAAAAGUUGCCGGUUAUUAAUGCAAUGCUCAAAGUUGCCUAACCUUAGGCAUAAGAAGAGCCUAGUGGAAAAUUCUUCCAGGCUAAUAAAUCUGUUCAAAUGCUCCAAAUGAAAACUCCAUCAGUCAUUUGUUAUUGUUUUUCUUUCCAUGAAAUAAAUAAAUCAUAGAUAUUUUGAGCAUUUGGUCUAUUUCUGAAUCGUUUUAAACACAGCAGGAUAUUGAAAGAUAUCUAGUUCUUGCCUGUGAGGAGGAGGUUAUGAUCUAUUUGCAGCAACAGAUUAUACACAGACUAGGAGUUAAACCAAUGAGCCUCACAACUUUCUGACAUGGAAACCACAUGACACUAAAAACCCCGGAGGAUUGGUACGAUGUAAUAUUUCAUGACCCAAAAGUUCAUUGGAACUUCUGAAGAACUUUGAGGUAUAGAUUAUGGUCGAGCCACACACUCUGAGGCUCAAGAGCUCUUGCUCAGUUCUUAAUGGGUCGGAGGUGAGUCAUCAAGUGGUCACAGAGGUGUGUAGCCCAAAGUGUUCUGUGAACUAAGAGGAAGGAGAAGUAACCAAUGUGCAAAACCCAAUGUGACUUUUAAAUGGCUAUAAGCUAAGGUUAAGGGAUGAGGACAAAAGGAACAGCAAGGGCAUUCCAGAUCUUAGAAAUGGUGUGAACGAUCUUGACUUGGCAAAGGUUGUGACAUAUAUGAAAGAGAACAGAUGGGCUAUUUUGGCCUGAGCCAACAUGGGGCCAACUGGGAAAGAUUUAAGAAAAGGACUGCAGUGUAGGAACUGCAAUCCUAAUUUCUUUCUUUUACUCUAACAUUGAGUGUUUAAGCACUUUUUGUUUUUAGUCCUCUAAACAUGUCUUGGGAACAUGUUUGUAAUGCUUUAUAACAGUUUUCAAGGCUUAGAGAGUGUUAAGAAUACACCUGCAGAUUUAUAAGGAGCAAUUAAGGGUGUCUCGAAAAAACAUUGUUUACUCAAUGUUUAAUUUAAUAAAAAAAGUCCAUUUAAGUAAUCAACUUAAUUCUCAAACAUUUUAUUUUUGACACUCUCAAAUCAAAUAAGUAAUGAUUAUUAUCUUUAGGUUAGAAGUGGAGACUCAUUAGAUUUAAAAUAUUUUUCAAAGCCUUAGCAAUAUUGUUUGUAACAAAUAAAAUGGAAUCCACUAGCAUGUCCUUUGAUUGUGAGUUUUCAAUCCCCACCGGAACUUUUGGAGAACAAAUAAAAUCUAUGCUAAGGUAAACGUAGUUAUUUACUUUAUAAUGGGACAUAACGCCUUUGCCCAUUUGGAAGCUAAAGGCAACUUACAUGUCUUGGAUUGGGUGAAGGCAAUGAUGUCGUUUUGUCCUCGGGACUCUAUUUAGAAGAGAAGUUAAAACAAAAGUUAAAAAUUGAGAGGACAGACUUAACACAAUUGGAUUUUUGUCUUAGGAGGAGAUUUUCUAAAGUAUAAUAUUUUCCCUAGAAAUGCCUUAGGCCCAGCUUGUGCUUGCCUUAAUUUUGUCCAUAUUCCUUGAAAGAUACUUUGUGUAUUAGUAUGAGUUGACUUGACUUGAAUUUAGCUUUGUUGGAUCUGGCCGCUAUUGAGUUGACUGGCUUCCCAAAGACAUGGAGAUAGAGCGGUCCUUUUCAAUAACCAAUCCUUGGAACUAUUUCCUACUCUCUAUAACUCUCAGAAGUCUCUUGGAUAGUCAAAAGACCGGAAAAUGGCUGGGUAUUAAGGCAGGACAUUACAGACUCAAUAAACCAAAUUUGUCAGAUUUCUCUUCCCUUCACCCCGAAGCAGAGUACCAGGAGUUAUGCAUAAAUAUAAACUCUAAGCUCUAUCUACUCUUAAAUUCUUGGCAUUGUUUAGGUUAAUAACUUGUCUUUUAUGUGGUGUAUUUACCUAUGGAUGAGGAUGGUGAAAUCACUUUCAUUGAGAACAUUAAAGAGUAAAGUCUGGAAAAAAAAGAGUAAAGUCUGAAUACUAUUAAGGUGGGUGAUUAUUAUUAUCAGUCAAUGGAGAGAAUCAACAGUUGCAUUAGACGAUGAAUGGGUAAAACAACAUAGAGUCAGUGUUCUAUGAAUUAUUAAAGAGAAUCUAGGAUAUUAAAUCUACAGUAAACCAAACUGAAAAUUCACUAAAAUUGCUGGCUUUUCUUUUAAUUUUAUACUUAUUUAAUUUUUAGAAUAAUUUUUGGUGCAUAUAUUUAACCUAAAAUUGAAAAACAAAUGCAAAGUGAGGUCAAAUUUCCACCUCCACUCCCCACCCCCAAAUAAGGAACUUAAAAAGUAUUUAACAACACAUUUUACUGGGUUGGCUUAUUAAAGCUCACUUGACCUAAAUGGUAAUAAAAUUUACCAUAUAGAGAUGUUAGCAGAUAUUUUUCUGUGGGCGAAUCCUUAAUAGAAGAGAAAUGUAAUUUCAACUUUGAACAGACAACCAACAAAUUUAAGAACAGGAGUUUCUUUUUAGCUUGUCAUAUUAAUAACAGCAUGUCCUUUGGUUUCAGGUAGCAGAAUAAGGAAGUGACUGACAGCGCCUGACUUCCUACUAUGAAAAAGAAUUCUUCCUACCUGGAUGGCCUGCAUCACAAACUUGCUUUCCCAGCACUGACUGUUAUUGUUCUGGUAUCAUUGGAUUGGAGAAACUGACCCACUGGAACAUAAAACAUACUUGGUUCAAAUGGCUUCAUCCAGAUUUGAGAAGUCAUUCGAGAGUGUUUGAAACCAAGGUAAGGGUCAUUUUAUUAUGGAGUUUAUUAGUGUUGUUAGGGACAAGUUACUGCUAAAUUGGUAAAUAGAAUUUAAGAAGAAGCCUGUGAACCUAGACGUAUUAUGAAAUACUUUAUAUCUGUUCAUAUUUUGAUAACUUAGAAUCUGAACAUAUUAGAAGGACAGGGGCUUGUCCCCACCUGGACAAAAGUAGCUUCUACGUAGCUUCAGUCAGAGCUAAUAAUCAUUUGGUUUGAAUGGCCAUACAUAGUGUUUCAAAUUUUGGCAGAUUUCAUCCUGUUAAUUUGGGUGGCAAAUAUCUACACGCAUACCCUAUUACUGGGUUUUCUUUCAAGCAUCAGAAGGAGCUUUAUUUGUCCUUCUUCGAGUUUUAUGGAGAUACUAUUAACAUACAGCACUGUGUAAAUUUAUGGUGUGCGGCACAAUGAUCUGACUUACAUAUCUCAUGAAGUGUUGAUCACGAUAAGCUUACUGUCAUCUCAUAGAGCUAUAAAAGAAAAGAAAAAGUAUUUUUUUCCUUGUGGUGAGAACUCAGAAUUUACUCUUAUCAGUUUUCAUAUAUAACAUCCAGUUAUUAAUUUUAUUAAUCAUGUUGCCUAUGCUAUUGGUUGGUGUUAGUUAGAACAUUCUACAAUAUUGUGAUUUUGUGGCUUUUAGAGGACUACUCAUUUCGUGUAAGUCUCAAUUUCCAAAUAUAAAGCAAGGAACAAGUGAAGCAUGUUUUAACCUACCCAGGUAGUCCACGAGUCCCUUUGCAGCAUGCACCGCACUUUCUGUGACUUAUACCCGCAUAAAAUUCAGCAGAGAAUUCAGAACACAAUAUUUGAAGUGUAUCUUAAUAGCAGCUGAUGACAGCAAUGUUUGAGUGGUUUAGGAACUUUGAAUGGCAAGAUCUGUAAUCUGUAAAGUAUAAUUAAAAUGUAUAAUUACAAAGUCUAUAAUCUGUAAUGUGUAACUUUGAAGUUUGUUUUUCCAAAGAGAUUUUUAUGCUGCUUGUGGAUCAGGUAUGAAUUACUCAUAUCUGUAACAGCAACUAAUGCUACUUGACUGAGUCAGUGAGUGACUGAAAAACAACUAUUUGAUAGUUAUCAAAAUAAGUACAAUUAUCGUGUGACCUGCAAUUAAUACAAAGUAGGGGAAAGGUGUAAAGGAAUAUAAACUAAAAAAUAACAGUUCCCUUUAUAAGAAGACUAGACUUAGAGGAAUGAAAUUUACUUACAUCUUGUUAGAAAGCUGUUGUGGAAGUGAGUAGCAUCUGUAAUGGUUGAUAGUCCAGCUUUAAAAACGUAGUGGACAGAGGUCAUGCGCCUAAGGAAUUUCCUACCUUCAUGCCCAGAGAGCUUGAUGCCCUUCUCUUUGAGUGGUGGGGACAGUCCUUUUUGUUCUUCAAAUGUGCAGUCAUAUAUACUGAACUGGAACCAUUGAGAUUAAUGGCUUAUCAGUGUCGAAAGCCUGAGGCCAGCAAUGGAUGCUAACUUACCGAAAUCCAAGUAUAUUUUAAAAGAGCGCUGUGGGCACUUGAAGUAUGGAUGCUGAGGUCUCAACGUCAAUGAGCACCUUCUCCAAAGGAAAAAGACAAUGGCUUUAUUUUUCACAUAACCUAUCAAAGGUGAAUUUUGCUGCUUUUAAGCAAAUCAAAAUUAUAGGUGACUUACUACUGCAAAAAUGUUGUAUGUGUGUGUAUGUGUAUGUCUAUGGGUAUACCUAUCAGCAAGACUUUUCUCCUUCCAAGAGGAAAGAUAUUUCUAUAGUCACUUCAUGUGCGGUUUCUGCUUUCCUCACCCAGCUGUCCAACUGGGACGAUUCUCUUUUUCCAUGUGUCUCCAGACACAGGAGAAGGCUUAAGGAGAAUGACGCAGGCAGGGGCCGGUGGCCUGGCUUCUCCCCGCUUCACGGCCUGCCUUCUGGGGCCUGGCCUGGUGUGUGGCUGCUGUUUAUACCUGCUGAAGUGCUUUCUGUGUUUGCGUUGGCGCUGCCAGCUUACAUGCUGAAGCCCCAAGCCGUUCAUGAGGUCUGUCCCAGAGCUUUGAAACCUAUGAGCUGGCGGCUGGGGCGAGAGAAUGUCUCUCUCAAUUUUUGGGUGAACUCCAUGUUUUUUCCAAGAGGUUAGAUCACUGUCCGCAGUCCAGGCUUGCUAGACAGAAUGUAACAGUUACUGUUUGAGACAUCCGGAACGUUUAAGGGCAAAAGGCAGAGGGGGAAGGGAAGAGAAAAAUAAAAGCUCAAGGUCAACUUCACAGCUUGAAAGCGAACAUUUUUACAUCUGGUAAACAAAAAUUUUUACGGAACUGGAAAACUUUAUCACCAAGGAAGGAAAAAAAAAAAAAA
rnacentral:lncRNA from 1 species